UGGAGGUCUUGGUUAGUGUCUGACAGCGCUUGUAGCACUUGCGCUAACACGUGACAGCGCUACAGAACUAAACGCAGUUCAGUCAGGACAGAAAAUGUCUAGGCCAGGUGUCAUUGCACGAAAGCUGUUAGCCUCACUACUGUUGACAAUGAAUGAAUCCAUUAAGCAUGUAACCUGCUGGAGACAGGGAAGCACACUCCAUGGGGGGAGGACAGCACGCGCCAUUCCCCUCCUGUGCUUGUGUGAAAGCUGACGAAGAGAAGGUGCACUGCCAGGGAGGCAAUGGAAUGCUAUUUUGGUGCCAUUUGAAACACAGAUCUGACAUUAUUAACAUUAUUGAGUGUUAAUUUUAGUGUCA